rnacentral:rRNA from 1 species
UUUGAACGCUGGCGGCAUGGUUAAAACAUGCAAGUCGAACGGCAAAGUUGUAGCAAUACAGCAAUUAAGUGGCGAAAGGGCGAGUAAUACGUUUCUAACGUACCCCAAGGUCAGGGAUAGCCCGGGGAAACCCGGAUUAAUACCUGAUGACCCUGCGGAGUCGUAUGGCUUUGCAGGCAAAGGUUUACUGCCUUGGGAUCGGGGAACGUCCUAUCAGGUAGUUGGUGAGGUAAUGGCUCACCAAGCCUUAGACGGGUAGCGGGUGUGAGAGCACGGCCCGCCGCAUCGGGACUGAGACACUGCCCGGACUCCUACGGGAGGCUGCAGUAACGAAUCUUCCGCAAUGCCCGCAAGGGUGACGGAGCAAUGCCGCGUGCAGGAUGAAGCCCCUCGGGGUGUAAACUGCUGUCAGGGUUUACCAACACAAUGAGGAGACCCAGAGGAAGGGGCGGCUAACUCUGUGCCAGCAGCCGCGGUAAUACAGAGGCCCCGAGCGUUAAUCGGAAUCACUGGGCGUU